GGAGAGAUGGCCGAGGGGUUUAAGGCGUCGGACUGCUAAUCCGUCGUACAACUCAUAUGUACCGAGGGUUCGAAUCCCUCUCUCUCCUA
rnacentral:tRNA from 3 species